AAGGACAGACGCUAUCGGACACUACAGGAGGCGGCCCGUGACUCUGUGUUUCAUCUGCGUCCAGGCGUCCCCCCUUGUAUCUAGCAAUGCUGGUAGGCGGGGGAGGGGGAUUCAGCUGAGGCAGAGAACCCAAAUCUGAGCGGGAGGCCAGAGUUACUGCGACAAGAGGAAGCGCGGAGCCAGCCAAGGGUACGGCAGGAGCUUCGCCGCCGGGGAAAUCCAGCGCCGGGCCGCAGCCGGCACCGCCGCCUCUGUCAUCUCGCGCCGCCGGCCAUUGUACGGAUCCAUCACAGGCCAGUCUAGGAACGGGGUUGGGGAAGCAAUAGCUGUCAGGUGUUCAUUUUUAAGCCGUCGGCAUGCAGAACUACAGCAAGCUCAACAAGCUGCCCACAAUUCUGGAAGAAGAUGAGUCAGACAGGGGUGACGGCACCAGUCCGGUUUUUACACGAUGAACUUCUGUAGGAAAUUCAUUGGUGAUCAAGCAAGUCAUGAUAUACAUGUGGUUGAAGAGCAAUGUCUGGCGCCAUAUUACCUUUAUGACAUCUUGCAUCUCAAGGGGAACAAUGCAAAGAGGCCACACCAAUUUAUCGAGUCUAUCGAUGAAUGAAUAAGAGAGCAGAGUUGAGUAAAGCAACGAUGAAAAACUAGUCACUCCAUCCCAAUAAGUGUCUCAAAUUUGUACUAGCUUAAGUGUAAAAUUAUACUAAGCUUGAGACACUUAUUUUGGGACUGAGGGAGUAUUUAGUAUCCUGAGGCACAUCUAUGCUUGUUUUGGGGUGCAAGCAAUGUAUGAUAUUGUUCUGGCUAGGCUAUGAAGUCUGAAUUAUUCUCAUGUUGACACUUGUGACCAACUUA